UACAGAGGGUGCGAGCGUUAAUCGGAAUUACUGGGCGUAAAGUGCACGUAGGCGGCUUGGUAUGUCGGGUGUGAAAUCCCCGGGCUCAACCUGGGAACUGCAUCCGAAACUGCCUUGCUCGAGUAUGGGAGAGGGAAGUGGAAUUUCCGGUGUAGCGGUGAAAUGCGUAGAUAUCGGAAGGAACAUCAGUGGCGAAGGCGACUUCCUGGACCAAUACUGACGCUCAGGUGCGAAAGCGUGGGGAGCAAACAGG
rnacentral:rRNA from 1 species